CGUUGUCCUAGAUAUGGGGGGAGGGGCAGUUCAUCCAGCCCUCGAUCCUGCGAGGGGACGGAUGGGACCAGACUCAGCUGAGCGACAAUCAGAGCAGCGUACGGCCCCCAACGCCAAUGCCUCGUUUAUUUUCCCGAUGCUCCUGUCCACACCAUUCCUCUACCUGCCGCAGCUUUUAACCAAGACGUGCUCUUCAAAACCUGGUUCAAGUUUCACCACCACUGGGCAACUUCUUGUUUUGGAAUUAAGAGCUUGAAGCCUGACACCAGGGAGCUCCGGCUUUACAGGCAAAUCCCUUAACCUUGUAAACCCAAGUUUUCUCAUCUGUGACACGAGCUCAGUGGGCUGAAGAACGCCCCCCACAAAGACAUCAGAGUCCACCUCCUGGACAUCUAUGAAACCAUCACCUUACGUGACUGUGAGCCGUUGGAGCAGCUCCCAGGCUUGGGAUCCCCAACUCUGGC